rnacentral:snRNA from 1 species
GGAUGUGAGGGCAAUCUGACUGUGACAUCUGUCACCCCAUUGAUCACCAGGGUUGAUUCGACUGAUCUGACUGGCUAGGCAGGUGUUCCUUUCCUCCCUCACCGCUCCAGGUGCGUCCCUCCGGAAGCUGCGUGCUCGGUCGAAGAGUGUGGGCUUUCCCAAAUAGAGAUGGACUGGUCUUUGACUGGUAAAUAGAGAUGGACUGGUCUUGGACUGGUAUAUGAGUAACUGUGCUCCCCUCCUAGAAGCUGCAAACAAGCUCUCAAAAAGUAGGCUCAGCUGUUAGGUCUUUUGUCCUUUGAUCUUCUAUCCUUCUUGCUGUCUGAAGUAUUCAUGAUGCUGGAGGUGAGG